CCGAGCCCCGUUCGGACUCUGGUAACCCCGUCGUUUGAUCUGUCACCGAUGGCUCGCCACGUAGCUAGCCGUUCUUUUUGGAUUUGGAAGAGAUCGUAGCAAGGUGGUUCGUUUCCUUUGCCCAGCGGCCUGGUGCUGUCUGAUGGCUUCUACCUAUAUCGCGGUUUAAGCCGCCUAAUCCUCGUUGGAUGUGAAUCGUCCUGGAAAUUGAAGCCCCGGGUGCAUUGGAAUUAUGCAAGUCCUUUCCUACGCCCGCUUAUUGUCUGCCCCGGGUAAGCAGCGACCUACUCGCAGUCCAGUAUAUUUAUUCGAUUCUGUGAAUGUCUGUUCCGUUACUUAGUAGUUUUAUAAAUUUCAGGGUUUCAAGAUUUACCGUCUUUAUUACGAGUUUACGGGGUGGCCUCAAAAUGCCAGCUUCUGCAAGCCGAGCUACCAGUGGCAAGGAGCUGUGCCUGGCGUUUCCAUACUUCCACGCAGAGGUUCCUGACCAACGUGGCGGUUGUAUUGUUUACGGUCUUUCGAAGUUUUGGAGGUUAGAUCGACCCUUUAUCUAAUAUGUAUUACUGAACCAGAGAUGCUGGUUCUGGCGCCCUCAUACCCUUAGUAACUUUUAAGUUUGUCCGUCAGUAGGCCGCUUCUACCAAAACAUUUUAAAAAAGAGUUCGCUAUACCCAUAACUGUUCCCUCAACACUUAAAUAAGAGUCUGAUGCUCAUGUUAUUUAGAUAAGAGCUAGUUUACCUUAAGUUCCUGUCAUUAAGGCCCUUAAGGCUCUCCGGGUUAGUUUUGAAAUUAUUUAAAUAAAUGUUUUAUUCAUA